rnacentral:rRNA from 1 species
GAUGAACGCUGGCGGCGUGCUUAACACAUGCAAGUCGAAUGGGAAACCUUUUAUUGAAGCUUCGGCAGAUUUAGCUGGUUUCUAGUGGCGGACGGGUGAGUAACGCGUGGGUGACCUGCCUUAUACAGGGGGAUAACAGUCAGAAAUGGCUGCUAAUACCGCAUAAGCGCACAGAGCUGCAUGGCUCAGUGUGAAAAACUCCGGUGGUAUAAGAUGGACCCGCGUUGGAUUAGCUGGUUGGUGGGGUAACGGCCCACCAAGGCGACGAUCCAUAGCCGGCCUGAGAGGGUGAACGGCCACAUUGGGACUGAGACACGGCCCAGACUCCUACGGGAGGCAGCAGUGGGGAAUAUUGCACAAUGGGGGAAACCCUGAUGCAGCGACGCCGCGUGAAGGAAGAAGUAUCUCGGUAUGUAAACUUCUAUCAGCAGGGAAGAUAAUGACGGUACCUGACUAAGAAGCCCCGGCUAACUACGUG